rnacentral:rRNA from 1 species
CCCUUAGAUGUCCUGGGCCGCACGCGCGCUACACUGAGUGUCUGAGAUACGAGUCUGCCUGGUCCGGCAAGGUCUAGGUAAUCGCUAAAAGACACAUCAUGCUUGGGAUAGAUUAUUGCAAAUAUUAAUCUUGAACGAGGAAUUCCUAGUAAGCGCAAGUCAACAGCUUGCGUUUAUUACGUCCCUGCCCUUUGUACACACCGCCCGUCGCUACUACUGAUUGGAUGUUUAAGCGAGGCUCUCGAACUGCUAGCGACUUAGCUUCGGUGAGGUCGCAGUGUGGGAAGUGAACCUAGCUUUGGUGUCUAGAGGAAGUAAAAGUCGUAACA